AAGAUUAUAUUUUGAGCCUUUUAGGUAAUGACAUAAUAACUCUAAAAGCAAGGAUUUAAAAGAUUUAAAUAUUUAAUUAAAUAUUUUUAUUCCUAAAUAAAUAAUAUCAGUGUCAUGACAUUGUAAAUAGGUU
rnacentral:sRNA from 1 species